rnacentral:miRNA from 12 species
AGGAUGGGGGGAGAGAUGGAUUGGG